rnacentral:lncRNA from 1 species
UAAAAAUUAUGUAAAAUGCCUGAUAGGUUCACAAACUAAAUGGUGAUAUAAAUAUACUAUUUGAAAGUGUAUAUAUAUAUAUAUACUAUUUAAAAUAUGAGUUAAAACGUGGGUAUCGACAUAAUAUAUGAUAACAUUCAAAGCAUCUGAUCCAUCCCAUAGUCGUUUGAGCUUAGUGAAGUAUCCUGAAAUGUCACUGUUUACCUGUACUAAUCAUGAUAACUCCUUCUUCAGAUGAUAAAGCUUGACUCCAAUUGAUCUCCCAAAUCUCUGGUCCAGGAUGUCCUAAAGCUCUUUUGUAGUUUUGGCGUAUAUCACACUGUCUGCAAUAUCUUUUGAGAGAACAUUUAGGAUCCAAGAGAUGACCAUGUCAUUCACUCAAUUUCAUUGUUCAUACUUUGGAGAUAUCAUAUCUGUAGAUUGACAGGCUCUAUUGAUGAAAUCAAGCUUCUUAUUGGCUGACAAAGACAGGAGAAUAGAUCUCCUCCACCCUGGGUAUUCUGUUCUAUCAAACACAGUAUUGACUAGAGUUAUUCCAGGUGAAUCAAAGUUGUUGAGAUGAUAAGGGUGAUUGACAUCAUAGCUAAUUAGUUUAGCAAUAUUGCUCGUAUCACCAGUAGAUGUCGUGGUUGUGUCAGGCAUUUUAGGUUACUAAUUUUGACGAUCAAUCUGAUGUAAAAGAAUUUGAUUUUGGACUGUUGGAUCAGGCUUAUUGUUCUAAUACCACGUAAGAAAUUGAAGAAGAAAUUUUAAUUGAAAGGUUCUCUGUAUAUCUUAUUCAUUGCUUGUACAUGUAUUUAUAUACACUUGCAUCUGAAAAAAU